CGAUUAUAGCAGCAACGGGGGGGACCAACUCCAUAUUAAUGCCAAUGAUUGUGGAAUGAGAUGUUCGAUGAACAGGUGUCAUACUUUAGGUCAUGUAGUGUUACUAGCCAUCUGGCUAGUAUAGGAUGGAUAUAGGUGGGACUUGAAUUGCCAACAACUCCUGUGUAUGUGGUUGAUUUGCCAAGUUCCUGUAGCUAACGUUAACUUAGCUAGUUACAUUAGUCAAAUUCGCUGUUAUGCUGUCUCGCGCUAACGUUACGUUAGCUAACGUUAACUAGCAAGGUCACUACGUUAUCAUGUCCUUCAAACAACUUUAUGGCUUGUCAUUACUAAAUCGCUUCAUUUGAGAAAUGUUUGUGUGGGCUUACCUGUUUGCUCCCCAUGACUAUGGGCCGCUGAGGCAGAGAGUUGACGGGUCUGGAUCAUUGAGGACCGUAGGAGAGCUUGCGAAAUUCUUCCAAAAGACACCAUUUUCGCUGUCUUUCUGCCCGAUCAGAUGAACGGAAGUGAUGUAGUGGGAAACGUGCUCUUCUAAUGGGGCUCCACGGUAGACGCUCAAUUCAGAGCGUACCCAGGGUAGCUGUCACAUUCAAGCCAAUCACUGCGCAGCAUAAUUUUUUAGCGUCAAACCAAUCAGUAAGUAGAAUUUUAUUCCGCACAACAUGAACAUGGAGCCAACUGACAACAUAAGCCCCGAGGAGCAGGAGAUGAUUCAGCUGGCAGAGGAUGCAGAGAGGAGUGCUGGAACCAGAUACCUGCAUUACCCCCUGGACCAAAACGAACCCUGACAACCUGCACAUCCCUAUUCCCUGUGAAGGGAGGCCUUCAAGAGGUGUGCCUUGUCUGUGAGCAAAUUGGAACAGAAAGGGAUGGAACUGACAGAGGGUCAAUUCAUGUAUAUUUUUGUCAUUGAUAUGAACAUUCUGGGCAAUACAACCUGUAACAACUCAUCUAUGGAAAUGUCCCUUUACUUAAAGUAUAGACAACUGAAAAACUUGACUUGAGCUCAUCAUUGAUGUGGAUACUAACCCAUACACCCUUAUCUUUCCAUUACCUCAGAAUAGAUUUGUUAUAACAGAAUAAGGAGAUACAUGAGUUAACGCACAUCAUAGAAAUGUUUUGUCUAGUCCUGAGUCUUUUUUUAACCCCCGGGCCACAGAGACACCUAGGUGAUCACAGAGAUGGCGCCUUUGCCUACUUUACUACAGGGCCUGCGGUAAAGUAACUAAAGGCUCCACCCCUCAGUUCAGAAGAUUGGUUCUGUGAUUAUGGAUAAUUGUGAGUAAUGAUGAGUAAGUUCAUUCCUCCCCCAAAAAUGCUAACCUCCCCUGUUAUUGGUAAUGGUGAGAGGUUAGCAUGUUUUGUUGUAGCCUCUAACUUUCUCAUCAUU